rnacentral:rRNA from 1 species
GGAUGAACGCUAGCGGCAGGCCUAACACAUGCAAGUCGAGGGGGAAGUUACUUUCGGGURACUGAGACCGGCGUACGGGUGCGUAACGCGUAUACAAUCUGCCUUUCACUGGGGGAUAGCCCGAAGAAAUUUGGAUUAAUACCCCAUAGUAUAGUAGUGUGGCAUCACACAACUAUUAAAGCUUAGGUGGUGAAAGAUGAGUAUGCGUUCUAUUAGCUAGUUGGAGAGGUAACGGCUCCCCAAGGCGAUGAUAGAUAGGGGUUCUGAGAGGGAUGUCCCCCACACUGGUACUGAGAUACGGACCAGACUCCUACGGGAGGCAGCAGUGAGGAAUAUUGGACAAUGGUCGGAAGACUGAUCCAGCCAUGCCGCGUGCAGGAUGAAGGUCUUAUGGAUUGUAAACUGCUUUUGUAAGGGAAGAAUAAGGGCUACGCGUAGUUUGAUGACGGUACCUUAUGAAUAAGCAUCGGCUAACUCCGU